rnacentral:rRNA from 1 species
UGGGGAAUAUUGCACAAUGGGGGAAACCCUGAUGCAGCGACGCCGCGUGAGCGAAGAAGGUUUUCGAAUCGUAAAGCUCUGUCCUAUGGGAAGAUAAUGACGGUACCAUAGGAGGAAGCCCCGGCUAACUACGUGCCAGCAGCCGCGGUAAUACGUAGGGGGCAAGCGUUGUCCGGAAUCACUGGGCGUAAAGGGUUCGCAGGCGGAAAUGCAAGUCAGUUGUGAAAGGUAGAGGCUCAACCUCUGUAAGCAAUUGAAACUGUAUUUCUUGAGAUGUGGAGAGGCAAGUGGAAUUCCUAGUGUAGCGGUGAAAUGCGUAGAUAUUAGGAAGAAUACCGGUGGCGAAGGCGACUUGCUGGACACAAACUGACGCUGAGGAACGAAAGCGUGGGUAGCAAACAGG